GUUGUAACAUGGCUUAUGUCAAGGUAGGAUAAUUUGAAAGAGUAGGCUUAAACAUUUGGAGUUAGGUACCUAACUUUCCUUAUUUUAUCAAAUUUCUCUUCAAACAAUUCUUUGCUUUGUCUAUUGGUACUAUAGAUGGUCUUUUCCAAUCAUUUUUUUUUCUCUUUUUCUCCUUUUUUUAAGAAGUUAUUUAACUUCUUCGCUUUCUUUUUCACAAUUUUUUUAUUUUUGACCAGUUUUUCUAGUACUCCAACCCCAAAUUUAAACUUUACUCACUUCCAAGGGCAAUUCCAAACUAUUCUUUUGCCUGCA
rnacentral:lncRNA from 1 species